CCGAGUACUAACUAAAGUGUUGACCGACAGCGCAUAUGAGCGAACGAAGAGAGCUCAUUACGCAAAUAAAAGUGCCAACACCAAUGACGUAGAACUGGGUGUUGAACAUUACUUAGUGGCGAACGGGUGAGUAACGCGUAGACAACCUGCCUUCUAGAUGGGGACAACACUGCGAAAGUGGUGCUAAUACCGAAUGUUGCAUUAAGCCUGCAUGGGCUUGAUACUAAAGGUGGCCUCUAUAUAUAAGCUACCACUAGAAGAUGGGUCUGCGUCUGAUUAGCUAGUUGGUGAGGUAAUGGCUCACCAAGGCGAUGAUCAGUAGCCGGUCUGAGAGGAUGAACGGCCACACUGGGACUGAGACACGGCCCAGACUCCUACGGGAGGCAGCAGUGGGGAAUCUUCCGCAAUGGACGAAAGUCUGACGGAGCAACGCCGCGUGAGUGAAGAAGGUUUUCGGAUCGUAAAGCUCUGUCUUUGA
rnacentral:rRNA from 1 species